rnacentral:rRNA from 1 species
AUUAAUACUGCUGUAGUUAAAACGCCCGUAGUAUACCUAAGAGUGCGCAUGUAGUAAUUAGUUCUAUCAAGAGAUGGUUGGGGAGAGUUUAUAACCCUUCUUUGCCUACUUUUGGUAAACUUCAGUCGGGCAGGGCCUUACGGUUCUCGUCUGACAGUUGCUGCGUGUACACUUGUCCACGGUUCAUCCGUGAGGCCCCUUUGGGUUGCAACUGUAAAUAAAUCGUUGUGCUUAAAGCGGGCUAUGAUACUCUGCCAGAGCGAUUUAGCAUGGGACUGCAGAGUAGCUGUAUUUGAGUGAAACCUGGACCUCGGUUUGGGCGUAGCUUGGUACAGCGCUUGUAAUGGAGCUCAGGGUGAGGCCCCGGGUACCAUGAGGCUAGAGGUGAAAUUCUGAGACCCUCAUGUGACCAACUAAGGCGAAAGCUGUCGUGGGCCACCACAAGCUCGUCUAUCAGGGACGAAAGUUGGGGGAUCGAAGACGAUUAGAUACCGUCGUAGUCCCAACUAUAAACGAUACCAACCGAGUAUUUGGGAAGACACUAUCCCAGCGAUCUUCUCAGAACUCAAGGGAAACCUUAAGUCUUUGGGUUCUGGGGGGAGUAUAGUCGCAAGACCGAAACUUAAAGGAAUUGACGGAAAGGCACCACCAGGAGUGGAGUCUGCGGCUUA